rnacentral:misc_RNA from 1 species
UCCUAGUUAACCUAGGCAGUCUCAUUAGAGUCCCCACCUCGCGUGUUGGCAACUAAUGAUAAGGGUUGCGCUCGUUGCGGGACUUAACCCAACACCUCACGGCACGAGCUGACGACAGCCAUGCAGCACCUAUACAGCGGCCCUUUCGAGCGAUAUCAUCUCUGCUAUCUUCCCCUGUACUUCUAACCUGGGUAAGGUUCUUCGCGUUGCAUCGAAUUAAACCACAUGCUCCACUGCUUGUGCGGGCCCCCGUCAAUUCUUUUGAGUUUCACCCUUGCGAGCGUACUCCUCAGGCGGUAUACUUAACGCGUUAGCUCCGACACAGCCAGGGUUGAGCCCGGCUACAUCAAGUAUACAUCGUUUACGGCAAGGACUAC